AUUGAACGCUAGCGGGAUGCUUUACACAUGCAAGUCGAACGGCAGCGCGGACUUCGGUCUGGCGGCGAGUGGCGAACGGGCGAGUAAUGUAUCGGAACGUGCCCAGUAGCGGGGGAUAACUACGCGAAAGCGUAGCUAAUACCGCAUACGCCCUACGGGGGAACGCAGGGGAUCGUAAGACCUUGCACUAUUGGAGCGUCCGAUAUCGGAUUAGCUAGUUGGUGAGGUAACGGCUCACCAAGGCGACGAUCCGUAGCUGGUUUGAGAGGACGACCAGCCACACUGGGACUGAGACACGGCCCAGACUCCUACGGGAGGCAGCAGUGGGGAAUUUUGGACAAUGGGGGCAACCCUGAUCCAGCCAUCCCGCGUGUGCGAUGAAGGCCUUCGGGUUGUAAAGCACUUUUGGCAGGAAAGAAGCGUCGCGGGCUAAUACCCCGUGGAACUGACGGUACCUGCAGAAUAAGCACCGGCUAACUACGUG
rnacentral:rRNA from 1 species